UCAACACGUAUAAAACACACGCUGUCUUUCUUCGACAAUUUUGUACUGAGUUUUAAGGACAAAAGUACAAAUUAAAUGUGAUGGCUAGCCACAGAGAGAUACGCCAUUGUCCAACGUUACCUCUCCAAAAGUAGAAAGCUUGAUCCAUGACAGGCUAGCCGCAGACACACCAUUGUCAGAUGAAGUCUGCCUCUCCAGAAGUAGAUGCAUGAUGGGAGUGAAGCCCAGCUUAGAAUUUGAUGAUGUCGUCUCCAACAGGAGCUCCAGUAACGCCAUUGUCAGAUAAAGUUUACCUCUCAAGAAGUAUGAUGCACGAUGGGAAUACAGCCCAACUUCAAGAUUCAGUGAUGUCUUCUCCAUCAACAGUGUUCAGUAACUUGUGGUGUUGGUAUCAAAGUCCGAACCAUUACAUGUCUGAGACAUCAACCUGAUGGCAGCUCACCAUUGGUGGAGUUUAGACUGUGUCCUCAAUCAAGUCAACCAUCACAUACAGAGUUCUGCCAACAAAAGCAAUGUACAGGCUAGCUGUAGACACACCAUUGUCAGAUGAAGUCUACCUCUCCAGAGGUAGAUGCAUGAUGGGAAUACAGCCCAGCUUUAAGAAACAACGAUGUCUUCUCCAUCAAUAGCCUAGCCGCAGACACACCAUUGUCAGAUGAAGUCUUCCUCUCCAGAAGUAGAUGCAAGAUUGGAAUGCAGCAAAGCUCAGGAUUCAAUGAUGUUGUCUCCAACCCAAGGUACAGAAAGGGUUGUCAUCUCCACAAAGAUUUACUCAUCAACCAAGAAGAUGUCUGAGACCUGCAGUUGAUGAUCUUCCUAACAGCGUACAAUGAUCCUGGAAAAGGAACUGCUCUCUCCUUUAUAAAGGAUGAUGCCUACCUGUCACACAGAUUUCCGAGACCUGCAACUGCGUAUAGUCAGCCCACUGUCUACACAUCACCAGUUAACAUGUGUGAGGGUUACGCAAGAGGAAGGUAAAAUCCCUGUGGUUGUUUUACACUAACAUCAAAGGGUGGUCUGUUUUUGCAGUACUCAUUCCAACACAAUAUCUCAUCACAUGCCACAACAUUUUUGGGGAUGAAUGCUGGCAUCAUCCUAACCCAAAAUGCGAGGUCUGUCCCUACAGAUUGAUUACAGAUUUAAAAGAUAGGAAACAUGUUUUUGAUUAACAAAACCCCUUUUACUGUACAGAAAUACAAUUUUAAAUAAAUAAAAAGCUUUUUAGUAUGAACCAUUGAUAUUCUUUCUUAAAACCAUCGGUAAACAGUAUUGUCCAAAGGCUCACACUUUGUGUAUCACACCUUAUAUAUA